UAAUAGUGUAUAUUAAAGUUGUUGCAGUUAAAAAGCUCGUAGUUGAAUGUUGGUGUCGAACGAGCGGUCAGCUUCGGCUGUACUGCUCUCUCGACUCCUUCCUUCUGUGGACUACGUCGCACUUCACUGUGUGGCGCUAGGACGCAGAUCGUUUACUGUGAAAAAAUUAGAGUGUUCAAAGCAGGCCGUACGCUUGAAUACAUUAGCAUGGAAUAAUGGAAUAGGACGUCGGGCCUAUUUUGUUGGUUUCUAGAGCUGGGGUAAUGAUUAAUAGGGAUAGUUGGGGGCAUUCGUAUUUGGCAGUCAGAGGUGAAAUUCUUAGAUUUGCUGAAGAUGAACAACUGCGAAAGCAUUUACCAAGGAUGUUUUCAUUAA
rnacentral:rRNA from 1 species